GUGCAGAUGAUGGAAACUUUAUUUAAACUGAUUUCAAUGAUGUUUUCAAAGGAACCACUGAUGCAC